rnacentral:rRNA from 1 species
CGGUGAAUACGUUCCCGGACCUUGUACACACCGCCCGUCAAGCCAUGGAAGCCGGGGAGACCUGAAGUUGGUAACCGCUAAGGAGCCACCUAGGGUAGAAUCGGUAACUGGGCU